GGCCUCGUGGCCUAAUGGCUAGGGCGCUAGAUUUCGGUGCUGUCAGCAGUAGAUUCUCUAGAGAUUGUCGGUUCGAGUCCGGCCGAGGUCG
rnacentral:tRNA from 1 species